UUUAAAAAAGGUGUGGAACAUGAGAGCUGGCUAAGGCAGACAUAAUCUAGCAUGCUCUACAUCUUAUGUCAGAGCUGGACAGUCUGCCAGCUAACAGAAGGCAACACAAACAAAGGAUUGAUAAAAGAACCAGAUUUGAAAAGAAGAAACACAGCAUGGAGGCAAAUGAACAAAAAAAUAAAAACACCAAAAGACAAAAAAUGAAUCCUGGUUGAAAACAGAUGAACCACAAGGAGGCAAACCAAUCCAAGGAGCAGCUGGACAUCACUGCUGAGGACAAUGCAGGAGGUCAAAGAAAAAUCUUAAAGGUCUAAAAAUGGAGGUCACCUAAAGUCUAUAGGCAGAGGGCCAAGGCUGUAGUGGAGACAGAUUAUCUAGAGUAGGACGAUGCUGCUGGGGACAAACUGGAUCUAGAAUGGAACAGUGGCACAGCUUGUGGUGGUCAUCAGUGGAACUGGUCUCUGGGAUGUUGGUGAGAAGGUAAAGAGACGAUGCUUGGAGGGACAAACUGAUUUCAGAGCAGUUUGAGACAGAGGACAGGACUGAUGUAGGGAUUUGGUUUGUGAGAGGAGCCGACUGUUAGAAACAGCUUUCAGAUGCGACUUGGUCUACUUCUAGAUGUUCCUCUGGUCAGUUAGUUUUCAGGCCUACUUUGAGGGAAAGGAACCCUCUGCAGAAAUAUUCUUCAUAUGAUCUAGGCCUGUUCUGACCGCAGUGGAUCUCUUCUGUGUUUUUUGAAUCCCAUGUUGGACCGAGCCGCUACAAGCUUUGGGCCAAUCAGAAGAUGCUGAUGAGAUCUGCAGCGACCAAACCAGAGGAGGAUCAUCUGAGCUGCUGACCUUCACAAAGAGUGAGAGCAUGUUCAACACUGUGGACGUCCAAAAGCAGAACUUCUGUGAGGAACCGGGACAUCCAGGAUGGUGAGGAGCUUCCCAGUCCCCACCUGAGGACGGCACAGAGAAAGACUGGAACAGAAAACACAUGGAGGAAAGCAGGUUGAACAUGGGAGCAGUUUUCUAGCAGCCGGAUCACAUUGGAACAGAGUCCAUCCACACGUGUUUGGAGGAGCUGAAGAAGAGGACGGAGCACAGAGACCGCUAAGGAGGAGAAACAUGGCUCCUCUAUUUCUCUCCAACAUGCUGGAGUCCUGGACUGAAAAACGUUGACGACCCUGCAGCUAAACCAUCAGUCUGCUCCACCCAGUAAGAGAAGAUAACAAACCUUUAUUGCUUCCAGAUGUUCAUCAGUAUUGGUGGAGAUAUUAAAAACAGAUCCAGAACAAACAGAUUUAAAAGAUACAACCAUCCCAUCAAGGU